CUCAAAUACGACAACGAUGAACGCCGAGAAACAAAACUUAAGGUUUUAUCAUAAGAGCAGAUCACCAAAGCCAGGCCACCAUAUACCCAGCCAGGACGGUCUGGUCUCUGUCAAUGCUUUGGGAUGACUGUUCAGAUAUGAAGCUGAAUCAAGCAGAAACAGAUUUACCUGUUGAUUUCCGCUCAAAAAGAAAUAUUGAAGACAGUAACAUCUCAGAACCCUCUUACAGCUAAGCAAACCAGGUAGCUGCAGAACAGUCACUUUUCCCCUACUUGACAAGGAUUUUGCCAUUUGCCAGAAGUUAAUAUCUGCCUUACACCAGAAGUAGUUCCAUACAAUGCAACUGUCAAGCAAGAAUCUCUCUGAAGGAGAGAUUAAAAGGAAAUUUUGAGUA